UGUGUGUGUCAAUUUACACAGGAACAACCCGAGUUGCCCCAAGAGGACUUGGCAGCAAAUGAAAAUGAAGUACAAAAAUAUAGUUCAAACAGCAAAUCGAAAAAAAGCAGAGGCCCGGAAGACUGGAGGGGGUCCACCACCUGCAGCCCUCACAGAGGCUGAGGAGAUGGCCCUCAGCCAACAGAGUAUGCGUCCUGUGGCUGAGGGCAUCCCUGGAGGGAGCUCCUCUGAUCCCCCCACCCCCCAGGAUAGAAGUGCCUUUAUCAGAGUUACUGAUGGCGUCAUCGCCCUACUGGAACCAGAUGCCCUCACCAACCUCCAUGCAAUUGUAACAAUUCUUCACCUUCC